rnacentral:rRNA from 1 species
AAUGGGGCGAAAGGCCUGAUGCAGCAACGCCGCGUGAGGGAUGACGGCCUUCGGGUUGUAAACCUCUUUUGGUAGGGAAGAAGCCUUCGGGUGACGGUACCUGCAGAAAAAGCGCCGGCUAACUACGUGCCAGCAGCCGCGGUAAUACGUAGGGCGCAAGCGUUAUCCGGAAUUAUUGGGCGUAAAGAGCUCGUAGGCGGUCUGUCGCGUCUGCUGUGAAAUCCCGAGGCUCAACCUCGGGCUUGCAGUGGGUACGGGCAGACUAGAGUGCGGUAGGGGAGAUUGGAAUUCCUGGUGUAGCGGUGGAAUGCGCAGAUAUCAGGAGGAACACCGAUGGCGAAGGCAGAUCUCUGGGCCGUUACUGACGCUGAGGAGCGAAAGGGUGGGGAGCAAACAGGCUUAGAUACCCUGGUAGUCCACCCCGUAAACGUUGGGAACUAGUUGUGGGGUCCUUUCCACGGAUUCCGUGACGUAGCUAACGUUUUAAGUUCCCC